UUUAUUGAGAGUUUGAUCCUGGCUCAGGAUGAACGCUGGCGGCGUGCUUAACACAUGCAAGUCGAACGGACGGAUUGGAGCUUGCUCCAUGAAGUUAGUGGCGGACGGGUGAGUAACGCGUGGGUAACCUGCCCUAUGCAGGGGGAUAACGUUUGGAAACGAACGCUAAUACCGCAUAAUCUAGUUGGUUCGCAUGAACCGACUAGCAAAGAUUUUAUCGGCAUAGGAUGGACCCGCGUUGGAUUAGCUAGUUGGUGAGAUAACAGCCCACCAAGGCAACGAUCCAUAGCCGGCCUGAGAGGGUGAACGGCCACACUGGGA
rnacentral:rRNA from 1 species